rnacentral:rRNA from 1 species
CCACCCGUGUUGCCCGAACCUAUGUUGCCUCGGCGGGCCCCGCGCCCGCCGACGGCCCCCCUGAACGCUGUCUGAAGUUGCAGUCUGAGACCUAUAACGAAAUUAGUUAAAACUUUCAACAACGGAUCUCUUGGUUCCGGCAUCGAUGAAGAACGCAGCGAAAUGCGAUAACUAAUGUGAAUUGCAGAAUUCAGUGAAUCAUCGAGUCUUUGAACGCACAUUGCGCCCUCUGGUAUUCCGGAGGGCAUGCCUGUCCGAGCGUCAUUGCUGCCCUCAAGCCCGGCUUGUGUGUUGGGCCCCGUCCCCCCCGCCGGGGGGACGGGCCCGAAAGGCAGCGGCGGCACCGCGUCCGGUCCUCGAGCGUAUGGGGCUUCGUCACCCGCUCUAGUAGGCCCGGCCGGCGCCAGCCGACCCCCAACCUUUAAUUAUCUCAGGUUGACCUCGGAUCAGGUAGGGAUACCCGCUGAACUUAAGCAUAUCAA